GUCUCUGUUGCACAAUGAAUAGUGCGUUGGACAUUUAAUCCAAAGGUCGUGGGUUCGAAUCCCAAAUGGGAUG